rnacentral:ncRNA from 1 species
AGCUCUCUCAGGUUCUGGCACGGCCCUCGGAAUAGCCAGAAUCUUUAGCCGACCGCGUUAACCGGUCGGCUUUUUUUC